rnacentral:rRNA from 1 species
GACGAACGCUGGCGGCGUGCUUAACACAUGCAAGUCGAACGGAAAGGCCCUGCUUUUGUGGGGUGCUCGAGUGGCGAAAGGGUGAGUAACACGUGAGUAACCUGCCCUUGACUUUGGGAUAACUUCAGGAAACUGGGGCUAAUACCGGAUAGGAGCUCCUGCUGCAUGGUGGGGGUUGGAAAGUUUCGGCGGUUGGGGAUGGACGCGCGGCUUAUCAGCUUGUUGGUGGGGUAGUGGCUUACCAAGGCUUUGACGGGUAGCCGGCCUGAGAGGGUGACCGGCCACAUUGGGCCUGCGAUACGGCCCAGACUCCUACGGGAGGCAGCGGUGGGGAAUAUUGCACAAUGGGCGGAAGCCUGAUGCAGCAGCGCCGCGUGCGGGAUGACGGCCUUCGGGUUGUAAACCGCUUUCGCCUGUGACGAAGCGUGAGUGACGGUAAUGGGUAAAGAAGCACCGGCUAACUACGUG